GAAAAUGGAUGGAUAGAAACAGGAAAUAGCGAACGGCUGCGACGUGCCUACGCAAACUGGGCAGACUGGUUUUGGGGCCAGUACCUCCCACUGGGUGUGUUUACUUUCUCAUCAUAAAAAGGAGGCUGACGGACGUGACUUUGUCUCUUUUUUUUUUUUUUCUUCUCAUCGUUCAACGAGAACCUGCCAGACUCGUGCUCCUCAUCAGCCGGCCAAACAAAACAAAAAACCGGAAAAAUGAUCCGAGUUGAGGUUGAGUAUUGCGGCAGCUGAGGUUACGGCUCUAAAUUUAGUGCUCUGGCCGCAGACCUCAAGAAGGAUUUUCCAGAUAUCGACGUAAUGGGAUACGUUGGCAGGAGAAGCAGUUUUGAGGUGAAGGUGAACGGAAACUUGGUCCACUCCAAGUUGAGUUCGGGAAGCUUCCCGUCCGCAAAGAAGAUCGGUGAGGAGAUAAUGAAGGCUGAAAGAGGCAAAUAGAAGAAGACGAGAUGAUGAGGAACACCAGAGCAUGAUGGGAAAGACUCGCAGGGGCCGGACGCCGACCGUCCUCCUUUUCAUGACUGUGCGGGCCGAAAUCGAAGAAAAGCGCGACACACGAUGCCUCAGGAGGCCGUCGGCUGAGCCGGAGUCUGCGGGUGCUUCUCCCAUCGUGGCCGUCUGGUUCACGCUUCAUGUAAUCAGCAGCCCUACAAAUUGCUUCUAAUUGGAUACAAACACACACACAAAAUAAAGUGCUUUUUUGCUCUCGGGGGUCAAAACUUUGACAGCGAUGCCUUCGUGGUAACGGCUCAAGUUGGGAAAAUCAGAGGGAAACGAUGAAAAUGGAAAGUGCAAAAUUUUGGCCUUUGUGUUGUUUGAAGCACGCGCGAUUCGUCUGUGAUUCAAGCCAAUAAACUGCAGCUUUACCCGCAAA